ensembl:lncRNA
CUAGAAAGUUUUCAGGGGAAAAGAGGGCGUUUGACGUGUGGAUGUAAAUUACAUUUGGAAAGAUCAGGCUCGAAGGCUCUCAUUUACCCUCACCAGAUACUUAGAAUAAGAUUUCGGUGCGAUAGUAAUUUUGCCAAUGGAGGCCGACUCCCUAAAACAUCACCCUGGGCACAGCUCAGCCUUCUUGCACCUGGAAGCACGUAAGCACUACCGUUGGGGGCCACUGAAAACAGUGAAAUCACCCGCAAAAACAAACCUGAAAAACAGCACUAAGUAGACCGUGAAUGGGACACUUGGCAGGAUGAGAGCUGAAACAAGAGGCGGAGUGUUGCUGCUGGGCCUCAGCUGGGAACGUAACUGUCCCAUGACUCAGAUUGGUUGUUGCUCUGGAUUUGUCUGGGAUUGACCAUGAAAACCUUAUGAGUACUGAUUGGGGAAUUACAGAUAAAUUUUAGUAAGUAGGCAAAUUGACAAAUACAGAACUUGCAAAUCAUGAGGAUGAACCAAAUGUAGAGAGAGGACCAGUUUCUCAACUGUGUGACUUGUCCAGUCACAGAUUGCAUUCAGAAGGGCCUUGAGCUUGGUUUAAUGCUCUGCUGUUGUUACUGUCCUGAAAUUCCUAACUUAAAAAAAAAAUUAUAGUUGAUUUAUAAUAUUGUGUUAGUUUCAAAUGUACAGCAAACUGAUUGGGUUAUAUAUAUACUAUACAUAAUUUUAUAUAAAAUAAAAUUAAUAAAAUGUUUAUUUUAUAUAAAAAUACAGAUUAUUUUCCAUUAUAGGUUAUUAUUAGAUAUAAAAUAUAGUUCCCUGUGCUAUACAGUAAACCCUUGUUGCUUGUUUUUAUCUAUUUUAUAUAUAGUAAUGUGUAUCUGUUAAUCCCAUACUCCUAAUUUAUCCCUUCCCCCCACCUUGAAAUUCUUAACUUUUAAACAAGAGGCCUCAUGUCAUUUUCACUUUGCUGGUCUUGUAGCUGGUCUUGUCGCUGGUCGUGUCUUUAUGUUUGUGUAUGCAUAUUUAAUUGCAUAAAUGAGAUCAUAUUAUAAAUACCCUUCCUUUUUUCCUUCUUAUAGUUUCCUUUUUUAAAAAUUCAAUCUUUGGUGGUAUUUUUAUAUAGACAUAUAUAAAUCUACUUUCAUCCUUUUAACGUCUGUGGUAUAGAUGUAUCAUGAUUUAUUUUUCAAGUCUCCAAUUACUCUGGACAAUACUUUGUUUAUGAAUUUUUACUUUUAGGAAUUAUGCCAAAAGAACUACCCUUGUUACACACACACACACACGCUUUGGCAUAUCAUCCAAUUAUAUUCAUACACUACACUAGCAGUAGAAUUGCUGCUACAUUGAAGUAUAUUUGUAUUUCAAAUAAUGAUCAUUAUUGCCUUGUUGCUCUCUAAAAAGUUUGUACCAGUUCUCACUCAUACCAAGAAAAUUUGAGAAUUUAUGUUCUUAAAUAUAGCUUGCCAACUUCACAAAUUUCCAAACUUAAAAAAAGUUGUCAAUCUGGGCUUUCCUGGUGGCUCAGUGGUAAAGAAUGGAAGAUCCCCUGGAGAAGGAAAUGGCAACCCACUCCAGUAUUCUUGCCUGGGAAAUCCCAUGGACAGAGAAGCCUGUUGGGUUACAGUCCAUGGAGUCGCAAAAGAGUUGGAUACAACUUAUUGACCAAACAACAACAAUAUCAUUCUAAAAAAAAAAUAGUGGAAAAAAUAUUUGCCAAUCUGAUCAGCUGAAGAGGUAUUUUGAGCUUCCCUGGUGGCUCAGUGGUAAAGAAUCUGCCUGCAAUGCAGGAGACCUGGGUUCAAUCCCUGGGUUGAGAAGAUCUCCUGGAGAAGGAAAUGGCAACCCACUCCAGUAUUCUUGCCUGGAGAAUUCCAUGAACAGAGGAGCCUGGCUGGCUACAGUCCGUGGGGUUGCAAAGAGACAUGACCAAGCAGCUAACAUACUAAAGAGGUGUUUUGUAGUUAUUUUAAUUUGCAUGUAUUUAAUCAUGUGUGAAGCUGAACAUUUUUUCUCAUGUUUAUUUAUUAACCAUUUUUUCUCUGUUUUUGCAUCUCCUGUUGCUACCCUUUGUUCAUUUUCCUAUUCGGUUGUCUUUGUACUUUAUAUAAAUUAAAGAAAUUAACCCUUUGCUUGUUAUAUGAAUUAUAAAUAAUCCUGACUUAUGAGUCUUUUGCUUUUAUUUGCAGCAUUGUUUUUUCCAAAACAGAAAUGAAGAUUUUUGUGUUAUACACUGAAACUUCUAGAUGAGAGAUAUUUUAAAUUUCAAACAGCGAAUUCCGUGGUGGUCCACUGAUUAGGACUCUGUGCUUUCACUGCUGGGGUCUGGAGGGAGCUAAGAUCCUGCAAGCUGAGUGGUGUAACCAAAAACAAACCUUUCUUAAUCAAUAUUACUUGAUGAUAGCUCAGAUGUAAAGGGCCUGGGAGAGGAAGACAUCAAAGACAACAGCAGUGUUCCUAGGUUUGGGGAAUAAUAAUAGUGUCUUUACCAGGUUUCUCCGACAAGGAUUCUCUCAGUGAUAGGUCCUUCACCAUGAGCUUAGGGAGCUGAACUUUCAAAAUCAAGAGUUCAUUAGAGUUUACUGCUUUUAUUUUUUAAUAAAUGAUUUAGGAUUAAUUUUAGAUUUACAGAAAAGUUGCAAAGAUAGUAAGAGAUGGUUCUCAGAUACCUUAUGCCCAAUUUUUCCUAUUAUUAACGUAUUACAUUAACAUGGCGUAUUUAUAGCAAUUAAUGAGCCAAUAUUGACAUAUUGCUAUUGACAAAGUCCGUACUCUCUUCAGAUUUCCUUGGUUUUUAGUUUCAUAUCUUUUUUCUAUUCCAGGAUAAUGUCUUUUUUAGCUUCUUAUUGGCUGUGACAAUUGAGUUUCCUGAUUUUUGUCACUGUCAUUCCACAUCAAUUCACUAAUGGGAGCAAAAUCCUAUCUGAGCUAGCCGUCCCAGGUUAGAGGAUCAGCAGAUAACCGACUCUAGAUUCCUAUCUUGCCUCUCUUCCUGCUUUAAAUCCCCCUUUUCUGAGGCUGUGAGCCACCCUCCACUUCCUCUCCAUUCACUCCCGUACCCUGCACAUUCCUUCUUUGUCCUCUGACUUCAACCUAGUAUUGGUUGUCUUCAUUUGAAAUCAAAGACUGUUUUCUAGAUUCCUUUGCUAAGAUUAGGAUUAACCCCCACAUCUUCCCAUGAAUUUGCUUUAUUUAUUUAUAUAAUGGUUUGUUUAUCCCCUGAAUCAGGGUAGCUGGCUAGUUUUCUUAGCAGCUAGUCUCUAGUACAGUUCUAAGCCUGGAGUUGCUCCUGAUACUGGAGAGAAGGAGGACUAUAAUUAGCAGAGGCAGGGAAGUUGGGAAGGAGAACUGUUUACUAAGGAAUUUAGUGCACCUGGUUUGUAUGUGUCCUAAGCAAAGGUGAGAUGCACAAGUGCAGAAAUCCUGGAGCAAGUUAGAAGUACAGAUUUCGUACGCUGAUGAGAGGUCAGUGUUUAAAACAGAGCUUGGAGAGAUGUCUACUUUUGGAGGUGUCAGUAGGAAGCAUGAGAGUGAGAGAGAAGAGUAGGGGGAGAGGAAAAAACCUUGUCCACAGUCAGGGGACGGGGAAGACACUCCCACGUAGGAGGCAGGGGAGGAGCUGGAGUAGUAGAUCAUGGACAGAGCAUUGGUGUAGGAACCCAAGGAGAAAGGAAUAUGGAACACCAGGAAGCCAUUCAGUGUAGGGAGGACUAAGAAAAGCCUUCAGUUUCUGAACUCACCUGCAGAGGAGGGACGAGAGGACUUGGAACCCUCGCAUAAAAUAAAGUGCUUGACUCAGACAUAGUAAACAGAAAGGAAAGAAAUAAGACAGCUUCAAUCUUCAAAAGAAUGGGGCUAAAUUCCUCCUAUACAUCUUCAGGUCAUAAGGAAGGUAUCACAGGGAAGAAUUAUUGAAGAUGAUAGAGAAGAAAGGGAGGCUAGUGGAAAUAAGAUUCUAGCUUUUAGUUGUCCUACUUCACUUAGGAUGUCAACUCAUGAAGGCAGGGGUUUCUGUCUGUUUUGACUUCUUUAAUAUUCCAGGAGCCUAAAACAGUGUCUGGUACCUGGUGGGUUUUCAAUAAAUAUUGCUGAAUGGUGGAAAGGAACAGAAAUUAUUAAGUCUAGACACUAAGAGGAGAGGCUGGUUUUAGAAUGAACGAUAAAUAAAUAUAUCUUCGUCUAAGACCAUGAGGAAAACUGAGGAGCCAGAGGGGAAGAAGGAACUUAUACCCGAGGCCCUAAACUGAAUAAUAAGGUACCUGAUGAUGAUGGACUGCAGGAAAGCAGAUCUGGCAGGGAACUGAGGGCAACAAUCCCUUUCUGCUCCCAUGCAGGGAAGCCAAGAACUGGCUUGGGACACCAGCUGGGCACUCUUCCCAGCCCUUGCAUUCCAGCCGAAUACCCUACACAAUGAAGAAAGGGGACUGACAGUGCAGUGACAUGAUUUAGGUUAAUGAACUACUGAUCGUCUGCCAAGUGGGUGGGAAGUUGUUUUUGUCUGCUUGCUUCUAUGGAAAAAAAUUGUUAUGAAUGAUUCAUCUUGUCUCAUUACUCAAGAGCACAAAUUGAUAACAAGAGUUUAAAACCUAGGGAGAACAUAGCUACCUCCACCCUAUCCCACAGCCCAGUUUUUGGUGGAUGGGUACGUUCACCCUCUCACUUUCUUGAUUAUGAGGGUUUCACAGACGUGUGUGUGUGUAUGUAUAUAUACAUGUAUAUGUAUAUAUAUAGUCAAAUUGUAUAUUUAUAUGUGUGCAGUUCACUGUGUGUCAAUUAUACCUCAAUCAAGCUGUUUAGAAAAAGGAAAACAGAAUCUUACAUGUAAAAUUAUUUCAAUCACAGAGUUUGGAUUAUAUAUAAUAUAUAUACACACAUAUAUACACAGGGCUUCCCUGGUGGCUCAGAUGGUAAAGAAUCUGCCUGCAGUGUAGGAGACCCAGGUUUGAUCCCUGGGUCAGGAAGAUCCCCUGGAGAAGAGAAUGGCAACCCACUCCCGUAUUCUUGCCUGGAGAAUCCCACGGACCAAGGAGCCUGGCAGGCUACAAUUCAUAGAGUCGCAAAGAGUCAGACACGACUGAGCAACUAACACACACACACACACACACACACACAUAUAUACAUACAUAUAUAUAUAUUUACUUGCAUAUAUAAAUUCAUCUAAUUUAUCUUUACAAUCCAAGAGAAAGUCAUUUUGAAAUAAAUUAUUUGAGGGGAAAAUAAAGGUCAAUCUAGGGAGACAAGAUACAAAGAGAACCACUAAGAUUUCCAGCCACAUCCCGGGAUAAACUAAGGAAUUCCUUCUCUCAGGGGGAAAACUGAAGAGGAGAAAGAAAGUUUUUGGUUAGCUGGUGGUGAGAGUGUUGUGUUCUUUUUGUAAACUUUUUGUAAUUCUUCUUGAGGUCAUGCUGUCCUUGUAAUCUUCAACCUAUAGAAGACCCUCUCUUCCACAGCAUGGAGAGAAAGAUGGCUUUUUCCUAGGAAGGCCUGUUGCUCUGCCAUUCUGCUGCUGCCAAGGGUCACAUUUCUUCAUCCUCCUGAUACACUACAGAACUCGAGAGACACCGGUACAACUCACCACAUAGAUGGAUCUGGGGCCUGAGCGGUGAACCAAAUCCUGGCUGAGGCCGGUUUACUUUAAACUUUUCUGAAGAGGUUUUGUAAAUCAUUUCCAAAGGAAUUAAAUUUAAUCGAGUAAGGACUGAAAUUACUCCCACUGUGGUCUCUGCCAUCACCUGGCAGUCUUAGGGGUUUUAUGCCAGACAAUAUGCAUGAAACAGUGCUGGGUGCUGUUCUUAACCCUAAAGAGGCAGGGUUGGUUCUUGAUCUCAACUUGAAAUUCAGAAAGCCUAAAGAAUAAAAAUCCCUGGGGUGGGGAUAACAAAUCAAUAUUUACUUUGUGAGUUGGAACUGGUCUGCUUAAUAAAGCUCGUUCAUAAGUGAGAAGGGUAAAUAUCAACUCACUUCUUGAACUAACAGGCCCCCCAAUUCACCAAAAAUCUCCAAAGGACUAAAGGGAUAACAGCCAAGUGUGCUAGUAAUUGCUUUCUAGUCCUUCAGGCUGUGCCUCCAAAGCCAGUUCCUGCUUUUGGUCAGAUCACUCCCCAAACUUGUCAGCAUCAUGAUGCCCUUUAAAAAUUGUCUUCAUAGCACUUAACAGUGUUUCAUCAAUUAAUUUAUCUGUUUAUUUUCUGUCUCUUCUACACUGGAAGAGAAUCUCCAUGGAAGCAGGGAUCUUACCUCCUGUUUUCGACACUGUAUUGCUACAAUAAUGUAGUAUAAUGGCUUCCCCAAAAUGGGCUUCCCUUGUGGCUCAGUGGUAAAAAACCUGCCUGCCAACGCAGGAGAUGCAGGUUUGAUCCCUGGUUGGGAAUGUUAGGUUGUUAGAAUAGGAAAAAGGAGUCCAAAAUGGGGGUGGCUAAAAGACAAAAAGAGGAAAAAGUCCUUGAAAAGGGAGCAAAGGAAAAAUUUAUGGACCCAGAAUGGGAAUCUCAGGUGAAAUAAACACUCCCCCUUCCUGAUCAUUGAUAGGUGUUAUGCUAGUCUUAAUUUGCAAAGGGCAGGCUCAGGGGGAGGAGACAAAAGGUAUAAAACGAGGGAGCCAAGACAGGCUGGAGCCUUUCCUUCCAGGGUUGGCCUGCCCUCAUGCCUCCGGGGUGUAUUAUCCUUUGUUUACCAAAUAAAACUCUGAGCUGUAACCCUGGUCCUUCGUUUCAAAUCUUUGUUGUGGCAAGACUGAACAGAGGAAAUUAUGCAGUCUCCCUACAGGAAGAUCCCCUAGAAAAGGAAAUGGCAACCCACUCCAGUAUUCUUGCCUGGAAAAUCCCAUGGACAGAGGAACCUGGUGGGCUACAGUCCAUGGGGUCGAAAAGAGUCAACCAUGACUGAGUGCGACACGCACACACACACACACACACACACACACACACACACACACGAAAGUCCCAGGGGGAGUGGUGGGCAGGGUUCUUUCCUUGCCUGUCUUGUUCAAUACUGUAUAUCUGCAGUCCAAGGGUCACAAAAGAGUUUGAUGCAAACUUAGUGACUAAACAACAAACAAAAGAUGGCCACGUCCUAAUUCUAGGAACUCCUGAGUAUGCUACCUCAUGUCAUUAAAGGGACUUUGCAGAUUUAAGGAUGGAGAUAUAAAAGUAGGGAGAAUAUCCUGCAUUUUCCAAGUGGGCCCAAUGUAAUCACGAGGGUCUUUAUAAGAGGGAAAGAGGAUCAGUGUCAGAGGACAUAUGGCAACAGAAGUAGCUGUCAGAAAGUGGGAGAGGGACUUGCAGGUCCUGUGCUGCUGGCUUUGAAGAUGGAGGAAGGGGCCACGAGCUAAAGAAUGUAGACAGCUCCUAGAUGCUGGAAAAGACAGGGAAAUAGAUUCCCUACUAGCCUUUAGAAGGAAUACAGCCCUGUGACAACAUGAUUUUAGGAUUUCUAAUCUCUAGAACUGUAAGAUGAUAAAUUUGUAUUGUUUUAAGCUGUUAAAUCAGAGAAGACAAUGGCAACCCACUCCAGUACUCUUGCCUGGAAAAUCCCAUGGACGGAGGAGCCUGGUGGGCUGCAGUCCAUGGGGUCACUAAGAGUUGGGCUCGACUGAGCGACUUCACUUUCACUUCUCACUUUCCAGCAUUGGAGAAGGAAAUGGCAACCCACUCCAGUGUUCUUGCCUGGAUAAUCUUAGGGACAGAGGAGCCUGGUGGGCUGCCAUCUAUGGGGUCACACAGAGUCGGACACGACUGAAGCGACUUAGCAGCAGCAGCAAGCUGUUAAAUUUGUGCUAAUCUGUUACAGCACCCAUGGAAAACUAACACAAAUGAUACCUGAUGCAUAACAGACUUUUAAUAAACAUUUAUCGGUUGACCAACUUCCUUAUAUAUGAGGCCCCAGCGAGCAAUAGAAACAACACUUUGCAAACUUCAUGGUGGUGUAUAAUAGCCAAGUGUGUUCAUAAUCCUAAAUUCAUUUUAUUUUCACAAUUAUUAUUCUUAUAUUACAAACAGGGAAAUUAAAACUCAGUUGUCCAAGUUCCCAUAGGUUUUAAGAGGCAGAAAGUAUAUUCAGAACCAAUAUUCUUCUUUUUUUUUUUUCAAUAUUCUUCUUAUUUUCUCCUUAUUUUUGUCUGAUCUAUAAACAAUAUUAACAAUAAAGGACAGGUUUUAAAAAAUUCAUUUGCAAUCCUAUUACUCUAAUAGAUCAGUUUUAUUUUUCUAUGUUUUCUUCCAGGUUUUAUCUAUGUAAAUGUAAAACAUCUUUGUAAUUAUAGUAUGUGAUAUAUACAUAUGUAGUUUUAAUUUUUCUUGUUAAUAUAUUUUACUGCCUGGGUGUAUUGGUUUGGGUCUUUUGGGAAACAGAUGCUAAGACAAAGUUAAUAAUAGAAGAAGUUUAUUGGGAGUAACACCUGAGAAAGAUACAGAGCGAGGAAGCAGGAUUGGGCAAGGAGAAUUCCAAAUCAUGGUGCAGCUCUGACAAUCUCAGCAGGCCCAGCAGGGAGAUCUGGGACAAAGAUGGCCAGUGAGAGGAGUCUAUGGAGCAGAAGCUCCAUGAAGCUGAAGCUCUAAUACUUUGGCCAACUGAUGUGAAGAGCUGACUCAUUGGAAAAGACCCUGAUGCUGGGAAAAAUUGAAGGCAGGAGAAGAAGAGGAUAACAGAGGAUGAGAUGGUUGGAUGGCAUUACUGAUACGAGUUUGAGCAAGCUCCAAGAGAUGGUGAAGGACAGGGAAGCCUGGAGUGCUGGAGUCCAUGGGGGUGCAAAGAUGCGGACACAACUGAGCGACUGAACAACAUGGAGCAGAAAUGGCCAGUCCUGGUACCCACACUGGGCUCAGUCAUUCCUGGGGGCUGCCUGGGAAGAAUCUGGUCUCAACUUGAAUAUAAUCAUGAAUCCUACAGGUGCUGCAACUGGAAGCUGUGAGGUCAUUGCAUUCUGGCAGGUGAACACAAGGGCUUUCCUGAAAGGAAUCCAAGUGGGGCAGCUCCAGGGCUACUACAGUCCACCUCUUACAUCAUGAGGAUUCACUUCUCCCUACAUAUUGAAGCUAUUCAUCCCCAAGGAAAAGAAAUGCAAAAAAGCAAAAUGGCCAUCUGAGGAAGCCUUACGAAUAGCUGUGAAAAGAGGUGACUUUGCACAAAGGCACAAUACCUGUGAAAGAUAUAGGGGAAUGAAACACGAAUGGGUAAGUAAAGUUUUCGGGUGGUGAUACAGAUGUGAUAACUGAAAGAAAAGGAAGUAAGAAGGAAAAUUGGGGAAAGAGAAUCUCAAACCAUGAUGCAGACAGAUCCUCCAAAGUUGCAGUUGACCCAAU